GAUGAACGCUGGCGGCGUGCCUAACACAUGCAAGUCGAACGGAGAUUAUGGACGGAAGUUUUCGGAUGGAAGACUGUAAUUCUUAGUGGCGGACGGGUGAGUAACGCGUGGGCAACCUGCCCUAUACAGGGGGAUAGCAGCUGGAAACGGCUGGUAAGACCGCAUAAGUCGGUUAAAUCGCAUGAUUUGAUCGGGAAAUGAGCAAUCAGGUAUAGGAUGGGCCCGCGUCCGAUUAGCCAGUUGGCAGGGUAAAGGCCUACCAAAGCAACGAUCGGUAGCCGGACUGAGAGGUCGGACGGCCACAUUGGGACUGAGACACGGCCCAAACUCCUACGGGAGGCAGCAGUGGGGGAUAUUGCACAAUGGAGGAAACUCUGAUGCAGCGACGCCGCGUGAGUGAAGAAGUAUUUCGGUAUGUAAAGCUCUAUCAGCAGGGAAGAUGAUGACGGUACCUGACUAAGAAGCCCCGGCUAACUACGUGCCAGCAGCCGCGGUAAUACGUAGGGGGCAAGCGUUAUCCGGAUUUACUGGGUGUAAAGGGAGCGCAGGCGGUUUUGCAAGUUGAGAGUGGAAGCAGGGGGCUCAACCCCCUGACUGCUCCCAAAACUGUAGGACUUGAGUAUGGGAGAGGCAGGCGGAAUUCCUAGUGUAGCGGUGAAAUGCUUAGAUAUUAGGAAGAACACCGGUGGCGAAGGCGGCCUGCUGGACCAAAACUGACGCUGAGGCUCGAAAGCGUGGGUAGCAAACAGG
rnacentral:rRNA from 1 species